rnacentral:sRNA from 2 species
AUGGAGCAUGCGUACACGCCGGUUCUUCCGCGCGGUCCACACCCACCUGACGGCUGCGCGCUACGUUGUGCCAGCC